GAUGAACGCUGGCGGCGUGCCUAAUACAUGCAAGUCGAGCGAACAGACGAGGAGCUUGCUCCUCUGACGUUAGCGGCGGACGGGUGAGUAACACGUGGAUAACCUACCUAUAAGACUGGGAUAACUUCGGGAAACCGGAGCUAAUACCGGAUAAUAUAUUGAACCGCAUGGUUCAAUAGUGAAAGACGGUUUUGCUGUCACUUAUAGAUGGAUCCGCGCCGCAUUAGCUAGUUGGUAAGGUAACGGCUUACCAAGGCAACGAUGCGUAGCCGACCUGAGAGGGUGAUCGGCCACACGGGAACUGAGACACGGUCCAGACUCCUACGGGAGGCAGCAGUAGGGAAUCUUCCGCAAUGGGCGAAAGCCUGACGGAGCAACGCCGCGUGAGUGAUGAAGGUCUUCGGAUCGUAAAACUCUGUUAUUAGGGAAGAACAAAUGUGUAAGUAACUAUGCACGUCUUGACGGGACCUAAUCAGAAAGCCACGGCUAACUACGU
rnacentral:rRNA from 1 species